CACUCACAACUUGUUGACAAAUUGUUGAAUUGCAGGGCGAUAACAAGUUGUUGGAACAACUUGUAACAAGUCUGUUGAGCUCAACAACUUUGUAGCAAGUUGUCAACAAGUCGUUGACAACUUGUCAACAAGCUGGGAACAAGCAGUGCGAACACAUCCUGUUGACAAGUUGUUGGAACAGCAUUGCUACAAAUCUGCUGCAGGCUUGUUACAACUUGUGCGUUUUACAUGUCUAUA